GUGUGCUCCGCUUCCAAUCCUCCUCGCGGGGUUGCUGCGCCAGAGCCCAUACCCGCCUCAACCCUAGCCGCCACACCUCUCCUUCCUCCCUUGCUUGACACCAUAGGCGGUGCACCCCCUCCCCUCCUUCCUGCUCGAGCUGAUAGCCGCCAGCUGCUGCAUCCCUUCCCCCCCUUCCUCCUCCUUCCUCCUUCCCGCUGGCGCCCCUCGCCCUCGUCCACGGACAAGGGGCCUUCCGCAGGGAUGGCGACAUCUUUAAACCAGGGGUAGUGGAGCAGGGGAUGGCCAAGAAGCCGACACUGGGGGGAGCAGCCAGGCCAAGGAGGACCCAGGUGGUAGAUGCGUCAUGGGGUUAAGGAGAGGCCAAUGAUAGGGAUAAGUAGGAGGAGUGCCAUGGAUCUAUAGGGAAAGGAGGGUGACGCCCUCGGCGGGCGUCCGAGCAGGAAGCCGGCGGGUAGCAUGUCAUCGUAGGCGUCAAGGGAGCCAUGGACAAGCCACCAGGAGGAGAAAGCUCCUAGUUUGUGGAGGAUACUAUGAGACAGAUACAAACCAAGUGUAAUCAAAGAGGAUAUGGAUUCAGUACGGCCAUGAGUGAAGGAAUGUUACUCCAAUUUGGAUCUUGGAGAAUGUUUUCUCAGUGUGGUCCAGGUUAAAUUGUUGUCCUACUAUUCCUGCUCAGCCUCCUAUUGUUCUAUGUCUUCGCAAGGACUUCUUCCAGCUUCUCUAUUGGUGUUCUCUUCACACCGAUGUACGUGCAUGUUCCUCCCUUCCUCCAAUUCUUCUCCAGAAAAGGUUGUUUGCAUCGGGCCACAAUUGCUUCAUGUUUCACUUUCGUUGGUGGUUCACGCGUCGGACUUAGUGCUCUAAGCAAACCAACAUUUCUCAUCUUGGCAAUUGUAUUAUUGGGGCUUCGCUACAUCUGUAAGGUUGAAUCUCAUGUGGCUCCUACGCCCAGCCACCAUCUCCUCCCGCUAAGCAAGAGGUUCGAAGGCCACCGCUACCUCUUCCUUGCCGCCCAGCGGGAGGGGCACUAGGUGUGACUCAUGUUUAGUUAAUGCCCACUGAUUGUGAUGUUCAUUCUAUGGGGAAUUUUGUGUACUUUUAUUUUGUGCAUUUUCUAUUUCAUGUAUUGGUCAGUGGUCCUACAUCCCAUUUGAUUUCUUCAUUCUUCACGAAAAUUACAUAUCAGGAGAUCCAUUUAUUAGAGGAUCUUCUAAAAGGAUUUUUACAUUUGGUUCCUGAUGCUCUGCUUCUCGGGGUUCGUUCACUUCCUUUCUAGCUUGAAAUACCAUAUUUUCCUCUCUGCGUGUACAGUCUUGGUGUUCGGUUUGCUGCUCGUGUUAAUAUUCUGGAUUUAGCCGGGCAUCAUGUUUUGUUCAUCCUCAUGCUCCUAAGUGUAUCUCCCAUUGUAUAGGAACCUGUCAUGCGGGGACCUUGCCUUUUAUGCUUCUUCUUGGUAAUAGAAGUAUUGAAUAUACAUGGUUCUUCUUCUCAAACAUUUUGGCUAAGUGGUGAUAUUCCAAAUAAGUGGAUGUAUCUUGAACAAAGGAGAUGUCUAAUGGUUUCUUAAUUUCGUUAACUAACCAGGGAGUUCAAGGGUGAUGACUGAAAGUUUUGUCAUUACUGGCUAACACUUGGCGACAACGUGUUCAUCAGAAAUGAUCCGAUUAUGCUCUGUUGUAUUAUAUUUCCUACUUUUUCGUAAAUAUGUAUUGAUGUACAUGCACACUCUUUCCAUGCCUGAAAAAGACCGUCAUCCCUUAGUGGCAAAGAUGAUUUUGUUGAACAGUUUCUGUAUAUGUUACAUAGUGUAUUCUUUCCAAUGUAGAAGGUAGU